CAUUAGAUGACUGAAAGCAAGUAAUGGUCU
rnacentral:tRNA from 1 species